GGCCUCACAAAGAUGGUGUCCUCGGAGCAGGCAGAGCGGCUGACCCAGCCAAGCUCUACUCCAGGAAGUGAAAAGGUGGUGUCUUUGAUGGCCACAGCAGUGAAGUUUCUACAGAAUUCCCGGGUUCGCCAGAGUCCACUUGUGACCAGGAGAGCAUCCCUUAAGAAGAAAGGGCUGACGGAUGAAGAGAUGGAUCUGGCUUUCCAGCAGUCAGGCACUGCUGCGGAUGAGCCCUGGUCCUUGGGCCCAGCCGCACAGGUGGUUCCCGUCCAGCCCCCUCACCUCAUUUCGCAGCCUUACAUCCCUGUAGGUUCCAGGUGGCGAG
rnacentral:lncRNA from 1 species